rnacentral:tRNA from 2 species
GGAGAGAUGCCAGAGUGGCCGAAUGGGGCACCCUGCUAAGGUGUUGUGCUCGAAAGGGCACCGAGGGUUCGAAUCCCUCUCUCUCCGCCA